GCUCGAUGUAGGCAGAUAUUAGAGGC
rnacentral:sRNA from 1 species